rnacentral:rRNA from 1 species
UACGUAGGGUGCAAGCGUUAAUCGGAAUUACUGGGCGUAAAGCGUGCGCAGGCGGCUUUGCAAGACAGAUGUGAAAUCCCCGGGCCUAACCUGGGAACUGCAUUUGUGACUGCAAGGCUGGAGUGCGGCAGAGGGGGAUGGAAUUCCGCGUGUAGCAGUGAAAUGCGUAGAUAUGCGGAGGAACACCGAUGGCGAAGGCAAUCCCCUGGGCCUGCACUGACGCUCAUGCACGAAAGCGUGGGGAGCAAACAGG